CCUACGGGAGGCAGCAGUGGGGAAUAUUGGGCAAUGGGCGCAAGCCUGACCCAGCAACGCCGCGUGAAGGAAGAAGGCUCUCGGGUUGUAAACCUCUUUUUACAGGGAAGAGUAGAAGACGGUACCUGUCGAAUAAGCCACGGCUAACUACGUGCCAGCAGCCGCGGUAAUACGUAGGUGGCAAGCGUUGUCAGGAUUUACUGGGUGUAAAGGGCGUGUAGCCGGGUUGACAAGUCAGAUGUGAAAUCCUGCGGCUUAACCGCAGAACUGCAUUUGAAACUGUUGAUCUUGAGUACUGGAGAGGCAGACGGAAUGCCUAGUGUAGCGGUGAAAUGCGUAGAUAUUAGGCGGAACACCAGUGGCGAAGGCAGUCUGCUGGACAGCAACUGACGGUGAGGCGCGAAAGCGUGGGGAGCAAACAGGAUUAGAUACCCUUGUAGUC
rnacentral:rRNA from 1 species